rnacentral:rRNA from 1 species
GACGAACGCUGGCGGCGUGCUUAACACAUGCAAGUCGAACGAAGUGGCGAACGGGUGAGUAACGCGUAAUCAACCUGCCCUUCAGAGGGGGACAACAGUUGGAAACGACUGCUAAUACCGCAUACUGAAGGAGGGGAGUGCGGCGGAUUAGCUAGUUGGAGGGGUAACGGCCCAUCCAGGAGAUGAUCAGUAGCCGGUCUGAGUGGAUGAACGGCCACAUUGGGACUGAGACACGGCCCAGACUCCUACGGGAGGCAGCAGUGGGGAAGCUGCCGCAAUGGACGAAAGUCUGACGAAGCAACGCCGCGUGAGUGAUGACGGCCUUCGGGUUGUAAAGCUCUGUUAAUCGGGACGCGGUACCGGAAUAGAAAGCCACGGCUAACUACGUGCCAGCAGCCGCGGUAAUUC